UACGUAGGGGGCAAGCGUUGUCCGGAAUCAUUGGGCGUAAAGAGCGUGUAGGCGGCCCGAUAAGUCCGCUGUGAAAGUCCAGGGCUCAACCCUGGGAUGCCGGUGGAUACUGUCGGGCUCGAGUCCGGAAGAGGAGUGUGGAAUUCCUGGUGUAGCGGUGAAAUGCGCAGAUGUCAGGAGGAACACCAAUGGCGAAGGCAGCACUCUGGGACGUGACUGACGCUGAGACGCGAAAGCGUGGGGAGCAAACAGG
rnacentral:rRNA from 1 species